UACGUAGGGUGCAAGCGUUAAUCGGAAUUACUGGGCGUAAAGCGCACGUAGGCGGCUUUCUAAGUCAGGGGUGAAAUCCUGGAGCUCAACUCCAGAACUGCCUUUGAUACUGGAGAGCUUGAGUCCGGGAGAGGUGAGUGGAACUCCGAGUGUAGAGGUGAAAUUCGUAGAUAUUCGGAAGAACACCAGUGGCGAAGGCGGCUCACUGGCCCGGUACUGACGCUGAGGUGCGAAAGCGUGGGGAGCAAACAGG
rnacentral:rRNA from 1 species